GGGGGCGAAUUUGGUUUCGACGGGGAAGAAGAGAUACCAGCUGCAUACCGAGGACCCUGAGGCCUCGUAAAAACAGGGAACCCUUUAAGUGCGAACGAAAGUUCCUACGCUCUGGCUGCCUAAUUAGCGGCCACCUUUCAGAUUUCUUUCCUUGCCGGGAAAUCUGUCAGGUCGGACUGGCAAGGUGCGGAACCGUCUCCGUCCGAGGACGUUUCUCAAGACCUUUCGGGCUGGUCCGGCGCAUAGGCUGCCUGCCGUCGAUGCUCCGGACGAGAACCAAAGACAGGAUAAGUAUGUAGAUGCUGCUAUUGAAGCUUCAUCGGACGUGGGUUCGACUCCCACCGCCUCCAUUC
rnacentral:tmRNA from 1 species